rnacentral:rRNA from 1 species
AGUGAACGCUGGCGGUAGGCCUAACACAUGCAAGUCGAACGGCAGCACAGUAAGAGCUUGCUCUUACGGGUGGCGAGUGGCGGACGGGUGAGGAAUACAUCGGAAUCUACUUUUUCGUGGGGGAUAACGUAGGGAAACUUACGCUAAUACCGCAUACGACCUACGGGUGAAAGCAGGGGAUCUUCGGACCUUGCGCGAUUGAAUGAGCCGAUGUCGGAUUAGCUAGUUGGCGGGGUAAAGGCCCACCAAGGCGACGAUCCGUAGCUGGUCUGAGAGGAUGAUCGGCCACACUGGAACUGGAACACGGACCAGACUCCUACGGGAGGCAGCAGUGGGGAAUAUGGGACAAUGGGCGCAAGCCUGAUCCAGCCAUACCGCGUGGGUGAAGAAGGCCUUCGGGUUGUAAAGCCCUUUUGUUGGGAAAGAAAAGCAGCAGGUUAAUACCCCGCUGUUCUGACGGUACCCAAAGAAUAAGCACCGGCUAACUUCGUG